GACGAACGCUGGCGGCGUGCUUAACACAUGCAAGUCGAACGGAAAGGCCCUGCUUUUGUGGGGUGCUCGAGUGGCGAACGGGUGAGUAACACGUGAGUAACCUGCCCUUGACUUUGGGAUAACUUCAGGAAACUGGGGCUAAUACCGGAUAGGAGCUCCUGCUGCAUGGUGGGGGUUGGAAAGUUUCGGCGGUUGGGGAUGGACUCGCGGCUUAUCAGCUUGUUGGUGGGGUAGUGGCUUACCAAGGCUUUGACGGGUAGCCGGCCUGAGAGGGUGACCGGCCACAUUGGGACUGAGAUACGGCCCAGACUCCUACGGGAGGCAGCAGUGGGGAAUAUGGCACAAUGGGCGGAAGCCUGAGGCAGCAACGCCGCGUGCGGGAUGACGGCCUUCGGGUUGUAAACCGCUUUCGCCUGUGACGAAGCGUGAGUGACGGUAAUGGGUAAAGAAGCACCGGCUAACUACGU
rnacentral:rRNA from 1 species